rnacentral:rRNA from 1 species
UACGGAGGGAGCUAGCGGUGUUCGGAAUUACUGGGCGUAAAGCGCGCGUAGGCGGCUUUGUAAGUUAGAGGGGAAAGCCCGGAGCUCAACUCCGGAACUGCCUUUAAAACUGCAUCGCUUGAAUCCAGGAGAGGUGAGUGGAAUUCCGAGUGUAGAGGUGAAAUUCGUAGAUAUUCGGAAGAACACCAGUGGCGAAGGCGGCUCACUGGACCGGCAUUGACGCUGAGGUGCGAAAGCGUGGGGAGCAAACAGG